rnacentral:rRNA from 1 species
CCCUUAGAUGUCCUGGGCCGCACGCGCGUUACACUGAUGCAUUCAACGAGCUUAUAACCUUGGCCGAGAGGCCUGGGCAAUCUUGUUAACGUGCAUCGUGAUAGGGAUAGAUUAUUGAAAUUAUUAAUCUUGAACGAGGAAUUCCUAGUAAACGCAGAUCAUCAAUCUGCAUUGAUUACGUCCCUGCCCUUUGUACACACCGCCCGUCGCACCUACCGAUUGGAUGGUCCGGUGAAGCCUCGGGACGGCGGCUUGGUUGCUUGCGUCCGACUGCUGAAACUUGAUUAAACCAUAUCAUUUAGAGGAAGGUGAAGUCGUAACA